UGUUGAAUCCCAAUAUAGCACUAUUUAAGAAGACUUGCCACUUGGCAAAUUGACUACAUUGAGCUGCUUCCAUUCACAGGAAUAUGUUUUGGUAUAGGUUUGUCUUUCCUGCUUGCAGAUUCUUAACCACAACCACUGUCUGGAGAUAUUUGCACUACAUCAUUCACAGAUGUGGAAUUAUACCCAGCAAAGGAUCUUAUGAAUGGACUGAGGUCAUAGAAGUUACAGAGUGGGCCCCUGUUCUUGAGGUCAACUGGUCAUAUUACCACCAUUCAGAAGCAUGUAGCCUCAAUGUUGGAAGAGGCUUCAGAAAGCACAGCAGAAGCAUUAAAUCCAGUCCAACAGGGAUUGGAUCUGCAUCAAGUAGCAUCCAAACACAAGGACUUAGAGGGUGUGAACAAAGAAGGUCUGUUGGAAGAGAGGAAUUGAAAUUGACAAGAUGAACACGGAUGCUGGGAUGAGUCUGCCAGCAGCAGAUAUGUCAGUGCCCUAAAGAGGUACUGAUCAGUGCCCUAAAGAGGUAAUGGGAGCGAUAUAAGGAGACAAACAAACUGUAUGGGUGCCCCGAAGGUGCGUGCAACCACGGAAUGGGAAACUGGAGGAACACUUGGUUGCAAAACAUGGGCCCGGUCCCUCUGGUAUGAGCCAUGAGCCAGCUGAGCCUGAGUGCAAAGAUGGAGAGAUGGCUGACCAGAGUCACAAUGACAUCAACCCCCAUAACUGGGGGCAACUCAAGAAAACCACACAGGAAGCUAGAAAACUAUGGGAGCAUCAAGGCCAGACAAAAACCCCUGAUUCCAUGUUCUUGGCUAUGUUAGCCAUAAUGUCCUGUGUGGUAUGUUUUCCCUGUGCAGAAGCAAAAACAUAUUAGGCAUAUGUUCCCAAUCCCCCACUAGUACAACCUAUACUUUGGAGUGACACUCCUCUAAAGUGAUCUAUCAUGAUCAGGGAGUGUGGGCUCCAGGACCCCUAACUCCCCCGACGUAGAAAAGUUAGACUCUCAGAACAAUGUCAUUAAUUAUACUGCCCCACUGGAAGGACUCCUCUUGUGUAUCACUACAAAAAAGUCACUCAACCGUAUCUGUCUUGCAAUUCAAGCUCAAGAAUGGUUGAGUCACUAUGGAAAUGUCAUGUACCUAUUAAAUCUUGGUUCCAUUAAUGUAACUGGUGUGCUAACCAACCAUUCCCGGCCCAGUCACCCCAGUUGUGCUGACUAUACGGAAUGGAUUCCCUUCACUAGUUCCUAUCCACCUCUGUGGACCCAGUGUCUUGGCCAACUGGCUAGAAAACAAUGUAUGUUAACUGGAGACAUUGUGGAUUGGGGGCCUAAAGGUCGAAUAUAUGGAAAAGAUGAAAAUCAGAAAUCAUGGCACAAACUUCGCUGGCAUUAGUGGCAAGUUUUAAUGCUGCUUCUUUAUACCACACUGGGAUCCAAUCCCAGUCUGCCACCCAGAUUGUUGGCAUGGAGCAGGCUUUAUCCCACCUCUUCCUCAAUGGCAC